rnacentral:rRNA from 1 species
GACGAACGCUGGCGGCGUGCUUAACACAUGCAAGUCGAAUGGAAAGGCCCUGCUUUUGUGGGGUGCUCGAGUGGCGAACGGGUGAGUAACACGUGAGUAACCUGCCCUUGACUUUGGGAUAACUUCAGGAAACUGGGGCUAAUACCGGAUAGGAGCUCCUGCUGCAUGGUGGGGGUUGGAAAGUUUCGGCGGUUGGGGAUGGACUCGCGGCUUAUCAGCUUGUUGGUGGGGUAGUGGCUUACCAAGGCUUUGACGGGUAGCCGGCCUGAGAGGGUGACCGGCCACAUUGGGACUGAGAUACGGCCCAGACUCCUACGGGAGGCAGCAGUGAAUAUUGCACAAUGGGCGGAAGCCUGAUGCAGCAACGCCGCGUGCGGGAUGACGGCCUUCGGGUUGUAAACCGCUUUCGCCUGUGACGAAGCGUGAGUGACGGUAAUGGGUAAAGAAGCACCGGCUAACUACGUG